ACGCUAAAUACCGCAUACGAUCUAAGGAUAGAAAGGCGGGGGGAUCGCAAGACCUCGCGCGAGUUGGAGCGGCCGAUAUCAGAUUAGGUAGUUGGUGGGGUAAAGGCUCACCAAGCCAACGAUCUGUAGCUGGUCUGAGAGGACGACCAGCCACACUGGAACUGAGACACGGUCCAGACUCCUACGGGAGGCAGCAGUGGGGAAUUUUGGACAAUGGACGCAAGUCUGAUCCAGCCAUUCCGCGUGCAGGAUGAAGGCCCUCGGGUUGUAAACUGCUUUGUACGGAACGAAAAGGUUUCUCUUAAUACGAGGAGCUCAUGACGGUACCGUAAGAAUAAGCACCGGCUAACUACGUG
rnacentral:rRNA from 1 species